rnacentral:lncRNA from 1 species
AAUACUAAGAGAGAGAUUUUAUUAGACCCUCAAAGUCUUGAACACCUAUAUUUGAAAUUUCAUUGAUUAAACUACGACGACGUAAAUCGCAGACAGCUUGAAAAACUUUGUAAACGGUAUUAAUAGUAGCAUACGCGGUUUGGAAUCUUUGGGAACAAAUGAGAACACUUUUGUAACUAUUUUCUGUUCUUUAAUAUACUAUACGUUGUCUUCCGAUGUACGAAAAACAUAAUCUAGGACCGCAAAACGAUUGCUUGGACAUAUAAUCAUUUAAAGUAGCAAUAAAGAGGGACACUGCGUACAGGUCAUAUGACAAUCUUUAGGAGCAAGUCAUGACGAAUCAGACAUUUCAUCGACCGCUUCGUUUGUUUCUGAAACGAUUAACGGAAAGAAUGGACAAUACUUUCAGCCGAUAAAAUGUAUGAAAUGCUCGUUUUGUGAGGAAUCACAUCAUCCGAAUACAUGCAAAACGUGCGACAUAUCGAGAAACGCAUACAAUUGUAAAGCAAAAAAAAUAUAUUCUUUAACUGUUAUUCAAUCACAGAGGUAAAACUCUUUCCAGAUGUAUUAUCACACACACACUCUGAAUAUCAAAGUCAUAUGAAUCCAGUUAGCCGUAUUUUGUAAAUGUAGGGUCAAAAUUGGCAUGUAAAAAAGGUAACUGUUA